UACGUAGGUGGCAAGCGUUGUCCGGAAUUACUGGGCGUAAAGGGCGCGUAGGCGGCCACCGCAAAGUCGACUGUGAAAUCUCCGGGCUUAACCCGGAACUGCCGUUGAUACUAUAUAUCUUGAAUGCUGUGGAGGUAAGCGGAAUAUGUCAUGUAGCGGUGAAAUGCUUAGAUAUGACAUAGAACACCUAUUGCGAAGGCAGCUUACUACACAGAUAUUGACGCUCAUGCACGAAAGCGUGGGGAUCAAACAGG
rnacentral:rRNA from 1 species